rnacentral:rRNA from 1 species
AUUGAACGCUGGCGGCAGGCCUAACACAUGCAAGUCGAACGAGUGGCGGACGUGUGAGUAAUGUCUGGGAAACUGCCCGAUGGAGGGGGCUAACUACUGGAAACGGUAGCUAAUCCCGCAUACCAUCGGAUGUGCCCAGCUGGGAUUAGCUCGUAGGUGGGGUAACGGCUCACCUAGGCGACGAUCCCUAGCUGGUCUGAUAGGAUUACCAGCCACACUGGAACUGAGACACGGUCCAGAAUCCUACGCGAGGCAGCAGUGGUGAAUAUUGCACAAUGGGCGCAAGCCUGAUGGAGCCAUGCCGCGUGUAUGAAGAAUGCCUUCGGGUUGUAAAGUACUUUCAGCGAGGAGGCGUUACUCGCAGAAUAAGCACCGGCUAACUCCGUGCCAGCCGCCGCGGUAAUUC